GACGAACGCUGGCGGCGUGCCUAAUACAUGCAAGUAGAACGCUGAAGAGAGGAGCUUGCUCUUCUUGGAUGAGUUGCGAACGGGUGAGUAACGCGUAGGUAACCUGCCUGGUAGCGGGGGAUGACUAUUGGAAACGAUAGCUAAUACCGCAUAAAAUGGAUUAUCGCAUGAUAAUCCAUUGAAAGGUGCAAAUGCAUCACUACCAGAUGGACCUGCGUUGUAUUAGCUAGUUGGUGGGGUAACGGCUCACCAAGGCGACGAUACAUAGCCGACCUGAGAGGGUGAUCGGCCACACUGGGACUGAGACACGGCCCAGACUCCUACGGGAGGCAGCAGUAGGGAAUCUUCGGCAAUGGACGGAAGUCUGACCGAGCAACGCCGCGUGAGUGAAGAAGGUUUUCGGAUCGUAAAGCUCUGUUGUAAGAGAAGAACGAGUGUGAGAGUGGAAAGUUCACACUGUGACGGUAUCUUACCAGAAAGGGACGGCUAACUACGUG
rnacentral:rRNA from 1 species